AGAGAAGUAAUUUAAGGGUAAAAUAACGGUCUCCAAAGCUGGAAAUUAAGGGUUCAAGUCCCUUCUUCUCUG
rnacentral:tRNA from 1 species